GGGUUGUGAGGUUAAGCGACUAAGCGUACACGGUGGAUGCCCUGGCAGUCAGAGGCGAUGAAGGACGUGCUAAUCUGCGAUAAGCGUCGGUAAGGUGAUAUGAACCGUUAUAACCGGCGAUUUCCGAAUGGGGAAACCCAGUGUGUUUCGACACACUAUCAUUAACUGAAUCCAUAGGUUAAUGAGGCGAACCGGGGGAACUGAAACAUCUAAGUACCCCGAGGAAAAGAAAUCAACCGAGAUUCCCCCAGUAGCGGCGAGCGAACGGGGAGCAGCCCAGAGCCUGAAUCAGUGUGUGUGUUAGUGGAAGCGUCUGGAAAGGCGCGCGAUACAGGGUGACAGCCCCGUACACAAAAAUGCACAUGCUGUGAGCUCGAUGAGUAGGGCGGGACACGUGGUAUCCUGUCUGAAUAUGGGGGGACCAUCCUCCAAGGCUAAAUACUCCUGACUGACCGAUAGUGAACCAGUACCGUGAGGGAAAGGCGAAAAGAACCCCGGCGAGGGGAGUGAAAAAGAACCUGAAACCGUGUACGUACAAGCAGUGGGAGCACGCUUCGGCGUGUGACUGCGUACCUUUUGUAUAAUGGGUCAGCGACUUAUAUUCUGUAGCAAGGUUAACCGAAUAGGGGAGCCGAAGGGAAACCGAGUCUUAACUGGGCGUUAAGUUGCAGGGUAUAGACCCGAAACCCGGUGAUCUAGCCAUGGGCAGGUUGAAGGUUGGGUAACACUAACUGGAGGACCGAACCGACUAAUGUUGAAAAAUUAGCGGAUGACUUGUGGCUGGGGGUGAAAGGCCAAUCAAACCGGGAGAUAGCUGGUUCUCCCCGAAAGCUAUUUAGGUAGCGCCUCGUGAAUUCAUCUCCGGGGGUAGAGCACUGUUUCGGCAAGGGGGUCAUCCCGACUUACCAACCCGAUGCAAACUGCGAAUACCGGAGAAUGUUAUCACGGGAGACACACGGCGGGUGCUAACGUCCGUCGUGAAGAGGGAAACAACCCAGACCGCCAGCUAAGGUCCCAAAGUCAUGGUUAAGUGGGAAACGAUGUGGGAAGGCCCAGACAGCCAGGAUGUUGGCUUAGAAGCAGCCAUCAUUUAAAGAAAGCGUAAUAGCUCACUGGUCGAGUCGGCCUGCGCGGAAGAUGUAACGGGGCUAAACCAUGCACCGAAGCUGCGGCAGCGACGCUGAUGCGUUGUUGGGUAGGGGAGCGUUCUGUAAGCCUGCGAAGGUGUGCUGUGAGGCAUGCUGGAGGUAUCAGAAGUGCGAAUGCUGACAUAAGUAACGAUAAAGCGGGUGAAAAGCCCGCUCGCCGGAAGACCAAGGGUUCCUGUCCAACGUUAAUCGGGGCAGGGUGAGUCGACCCCUAAGGCGAGGCCGAAAGGCGUAGUCGAUGGGAAACAGGUUAAUAUUCCUGUACUUGGUGUUACUGCGAAGGGGGACGGAGAAGGCUAUGUUGGCCGGGCGACGGUUGUCCCGGUUUAAGCGUGUAGGCUGGUUUUCCAGGCAAAUCCGGAAAAUCAAGGCUGAGGCGUGAUGACGAGGCACUACGGUGCUGAAGCAACAAAUGCCCUGCUUCCAGGAAAAGCCUCUAAGCAUCAGGUAACAUCAAAUCGUACCCCAAACCGACACAGGUGGUCAGGUAGAGAAUACCAAGGCGCUUGAGAGAACUCGGGUGAAGGAACUAGGCAAAAUGGUGCCGUAACUUCGGGAGAAGGCACGCUGAUAUGUAGGUGAGGUCCCUCGCGGAUGGAGCUGAAAUCAGUCGAAGAUACCAGCUGGCUGCAACUGUUUAUUAAAAACACAGCACUGUGCAAACACGAAAGUGGACGUAUACGGUGUGACGCCUGCCCGGUGCCGGAAGGUUAAUUGAUGGGGUCAGCGCAAGCGAAGCUCUUGAUCGAAGCCCCGGUAAACGGCGGCCGUAACUAUAACGGUCCUAAGGUAGCGAAAUUCCUUGUCGGGUAAGUUCCGACCUGCACGAAUGGCGUAAUGAUGGCCAGGCUGUCUCCACCCGAGACUCAGUGAAAUUGAACUCGCUGUGAAGAUGCAGUGUACCCGCGGCAAGACGGAAAGACCCCGUGAACCUUUACUAUAGCUUGACACUGAACAUUGAGCCUUGAUGUGUAGGAUAGGUGGGAGGCUUGGAAGUGUGGACGCCAGUCUGCAUGGAGCCGACCUUGAAAUACCACCCUUUAAUGUUUGAUGUUCUAACGUUGACCCGUAAUCCGGGUUGCGGACAGUGUCUGGUGGGUAGUUUGACUGGGGCGGUCUCCUCCUAAAGAGUAACGGAGGAGCACGAAGGUUGGCUAAUCCUGGUCGGACAUCAGGAGGUUAGUGCAAUGGCAUAAGCCAGCUUGACUGCGAGCGUGACGGCGCGAGCAGGUGCGAAAGCAGGUCAUAGUGAUCCGGUGGUUCUGAAUGGAAGGGCCAUCGCUCAACGGAUAAAAGGUACUCCGGGGAUAACAGGCUGAUACCGCCCAAGAGUUCAUAUCGACGGCGGUGUUUGGCACCUCGAUGUCGGCUCAUCACAUCCUGGGCUGAAGUAGGUCCCAAGGGUAUGGCUGUUCGCCAUUUAAAGUGGUACGCGAGCUGGGUUUAGAACGUCGUGAGACAGUUCGGUCCCUAUCUGCCGUGGGCGCUGGAGAACUGAGGGGGCUGCUCCUAGUACGAGAGGACCGGAGUGGACGCAUCACUGGUGUUCGGGUUGUCAUGCCAAUGGCACUGCCCGGUAGCUAAAUGCGGAAGAGAUAAGUGCUGAAAGCAUCUAAGCACGAAACUUGCCCCGAGAUGAGUUCUCCCUGACCCUUUAAGGGUCCUGAAGGAACGUUGAAGACGACGACGUUGAUAGGCCGGGUGUGUAAGCGCAGCGAUGCGUUGAGCUAACCGGUACUAAUGAACCGUGAGGCUUAACCUUACAACGCCGAAGCUGUU
rnacentral:rRNA from 1 species